rnacentral:rRNA from 1 species
UACGUAGGGUGCAAGCGUUGUCCGGAAUUAUUGGGCGUAAAGAGCUCGUAGGCGGUCUGUCGCGUCGGCUGUGAAAACUCGGGGCUCAACUCCGAGCUUGCAGUCGAUACGGGCAGGCUAGAGUUCGGCAGGGGAGACUGGAAUUCCUGGUGUAGCGGUGAAAUGCGCAGAUAUCGGGAAGAACACCCGUGGCGAAGGCGGCUCUCUGGGACGGUACUGACGCUGAGACGCGAAAGCGUGGGGAGCGAACAGG